rnacentral:rRNA from 1 species
GAUGGACGCUGGCGGCGUGCCUAAUACAUGCAAGUCGAGCGAACGGACGAGAAGCUUGCUUCUCUGAUGUUAGCGGCGGACGGGUGAGUAACACGUGGAUAACCUACCUAUAAGACUGGGAUAACUUCGGGAAACCGGAGCUAAUACCGGAUAAUAUUUUGAACCGCAUGGUUCAAAAGUGGAAGACGGUCUUGCUGUCACUUAUAGAUGGAUCCGCGCUGCAUUAGCUAGUUGGUAAGGUAACGGCUUACCAAGGCAACGAUGCAUAGCCGACCUGAGAGGGUGAUCGGCCACACUGGAACUGAGACACGGUCCAGACUCCUACGGGAGGCAGCAGUAGGGAAUCUUCCGCAAUGGGCGAAAGCCUGACGGAGCAACGCCGCGUGAGUGAUGAAGGUCUUCGGAUCGUAAAACUCUGUUAUUAGGGAAGAACAUAUGUGUAAGUAACUGUGCACAUCUUGACGGUACCUAAUCAGAAAGCCACGGCUAACUACGUG